rnacentral:tRNA from 1 species
GCGGGUGUAGCUCAAUGGCAGAGCUCUUGCUUCCCAAGCAAGCGACGGGGGUUCGAUUCCCCUCACCCGCUCCA